GAUAAAAUGGCUGAGGUAUAAGCGGUAAAUUGUAAAUUUAUAGACGGAUUAAUUCCUUUUAUCA
rnacentral:tRNA from 1 species